UGGGUCUUACGCGACAGGAAUCUGUGAACCGUGUCAGGUUGGGAACAAAGCAGCACUAAGCAGAACCUCCUUGUGUGCCGUAAGGCAGCCU
rnacentral:SRP_RNA from 1 species